AGUGAACGCUGGCGGUAGGCCUAACACAUGCAGGUCGAACGGCAGCACAGUAAGAGCUUGCUCUUACGGGUGGCGAGUGGCGGACGGGUGAGGAAUACAUCGGAAUCUACUUUUUCGGGGGGGAUAACGUAGGGAAACUUACGCUAAUACCGCAUACGACCUACGGGUGAAAGCAGGGGAUCUUCGGACCUUGCGCGAUUGAAUGAGCCGAUGUCGGAUUAGCUAGUUGGCGGGGUAAAGGCCCACCAAGGCGACGAUCCGUAGCUGGUCUGAGAGGAUGGUCAGCCACACUGGAACUUGGACACGGUCCAGACUCCUACGGGAGGCAGCAGUGGGGAAUAUUGGACAAUGGGCGCAAGCCUGAUCCAGCCAUACCGCGUGUGUGAAGAAGGCCUUCGGGUUGUAAAGCCCUUUUGUUGGGAAAGAAAAGCAGCAGGUUAAUACCCCGCUGUUCUGACGGUACCCAAAGAAUAAGCACCGGCUAACUUCGUG
rnacentral:rRNA from 1 species